AAUGGGCGCAAGCCUGAUCCAGCCAUGCCGCGUGAGUGAUGAAGGCCCUAGGGUCGUAAAGCUCUUUCGCCUGUGAAGAUAAUGACGGUAGCAGGUAAAGAAACCCCGGCUAACUCCGUGCCAGCAGCCGCGGUAAUACGGAGGGGGUUAGCGUUGUUCGGAAUUACUGGGCGUAAAGCGCGCGUAGGCGGAUUAGUCAGUCAGAGGUGGAAUCCCAGGGCUCAACCCUGGAACUGCCUUUGAUACUGCUAGUCUUGAGUUCGAGAGAGGUAAGUGGAAUUCCGAGUGUAGAGGUGAAAUUCGUAGAUAUUCGGAGGAACACCAGUGGCGAAGGCGGCUUACUGGCUCGAUACUGACGCUGAGGUGCGAAAGUGUGGGGAGCAAACAGGAUU
rnacentral:rRNA from 1 species